rnacentral:rRNA from 1 species
AACGAACGCUGGCGGCAUGCCUAACACAUGCAAGUCGAACGAGAUCUUCGGGUCUAGUGGCGCACGGGUGCGUAACGCGUGGGAAUCUGCCCUUUGGUUCGGAAUAACAGUUGGAAACGACUGCUAAUACCGGAUGAUGACGAAAGUCCAAAGAUUUAUCGCCAGAGGAUGAGCCCGCGUAGGAUUAGCUAGUUGGUGUGGUAAAGGCGCACCAAGGCGACGAUCCUUAGCUGGUCUGAGGGGAUGAUCAGCCACACUGGGACUGAGACACGGCCCAGACUCCUACGGGAGGCAGCAGUGGGGAAUAUUGGACAAUGGGCGAAAGCCUGAUCCAACAAUGCCGCGUGAGUGAUGAAGGCCUUAGGGUUGUAAAGCUCUUUUACCCGGGAUGAUAAUGACAGUACCGGGAGAAUAAGCUCCGGCUAACUCCGUGCCAGCAGCCGCCGUAA